GCCGCCUCGCCUCCCGCUCACUGUUCACUCCACACUCUCCACGCUCAGCUGGCGGCCUCCAGCUAUUCAUGACGUCGCGAACUUUACGAACACGGAGACACUACAUCCUACGAGUCUACGUAAACAGAUUCAACACGCCAAUACUCGCUACUGUAACCACGCAGCGCCCCCGUGGACACUCAGACACAGCGGCCGGCGUUGGCAGGAAGGUGUAAAUGGAGCUGCGAUUCAGUGCAGGAGCAAGAAUGAGGAUCAAACAGAAGCAGACCUGUUGGCCCCCACGACGCUGCUUGUGGCGUCAUGCGGGAGAGGAAGGGAUGCUGUACUCACCACCAUCGGGGGAACCCAGCUUGGCUCUCUCCCUGGCGGCUGGACUAGGGGAAGCUUGCGGUACCGACCUCCUGUGCGCCACCCGGUCUCGUCUCCGCUGGGGGCUGUCUCGCCGCAGGGCCGCCGCCUCCACGCCGCAGUAACUGACACGCGGCCCGCGGGGUUUGUCUGGCGGGAGGAGAUGGAGGGGGGAUGAAGUCAUCGGCGCUGCCGCCCUCCUUUGUGUGCGUCUCCAGCUCGCGCACCAUCUUCUCCGGCACGUCGAGACACUCCUUCUCGUAGGCGUCCACGAUGGGACUCUCGAGCACGGCGCGGUACCGAUUGUCG